AUAAUGAACGGACUAAAAUUUAAGAAUAUAGCAGUUACGUGGCUGCAUCCGCAGGGAUGCCUCCCACGUGUCACCAUUUCGGCGUGGCAACGAGUCAUGUGGCGAUUUGGUGAGGCUCCACCACGAGUCGCUGAAGAAAGCUGUGCCCAAGCUUAACAAAGAGGACAAGUUUAGGACCAAAGGGGAACGUUUCGUCAUCUUUGAUCUUCAUAAAGCCUCUUCAUGGCCGUCUUGGAGAAAAAGGGGGCAAGAGGUUUAAAACCCCGCUGAAGCCGUGCUGCGAAUUAGGCGAUUGUGUACGUGUGGAUAUGAUGGGUGCGAAGAAGAUACGUUAUGUAACGAUCCUAAGUCUGCUUUCUUAUUAUGGGAUGGAAUUAACCCAAUUCAAGAAGGAUGAAGACUGAUUUAUACGGAAUUAGGCAAAUCUCUAACCGUGUCUUUAGUUUGACCAAAGUGUAUUUUUGGGCAUUUAAAAAAACUCCAUUUGUUAGUUAUUUACUUUCACCUUUGCCUUUUCCAAUUUCUUGAAAUCGAAUUCUGUUUAUUGUUUUUAAUCCUUAACAAAAAUAUAUCUUUAAUUCA